UACGAGUGCGGGCCUCUGGGUCAACCUCCCAUCCGUGUCUAUCUGUACCCUGGUUGCUUCGGCGUGGCCACGGCCCGCCGAAGACUAACAUUUGAACACUGUCUGAAGUUUGCAGUCUGAGUUUUUAGUUAAACAAUAAUUAAAACUUUCAACAACGGAUCUCUUGGCUUCCGGCAUCGAUGAAGAACGCAGCGAAAUGCGAUAAUUAAUGUGAAUUGCAGAAUUCAGUGAAUCAUCGAGUCUUUGAACGCACAUUGCGCCCCCUGGUAUUCCGGGGGGCAUGCCUGUCCGAGCGUCAUUGCUGCCCUCAAGCACGGCUUGUGUGUUGGGCUUCCGUCCCUGGUAACGGGGACGGGCCCAAAAGGCAGUGGCGGCACCAUGUCUGGUCCUCGAGCGUAUGGGGCUUUGUCACCCGCUCCCGUAGGUCCAGCUGGCAGCUAGCCUCGCAACCAAUCUUUUUAACCAGGUUGACCUCGGAUCAGGUAGGGAUACCCGCUGAACUUAAGCAUAUUCAAUAAGCGGCAG
rnacentral:rRNA from 1 species